GCUACGGGUGGCAGCAGUGAGGAAUAUUGGUCAAUGGGCGCGAGCCUGAACCAGCCAAGUAGCGUGAAGGAUGACUGCCCUACGGGUUGUAAACUUCUUUUAUAAAGGAAUAAAGUGAGGCACGUGUGCCUUUUUGUAUGUACUUUAUGAAUAAGGAUCGGCUAACUCCGUGCCAGCAGCAGCGGUAAUACGGAGGAUCCGAGCGUUAUCCGGAUUUAUUUGGUUUAAAGGGAGCGUAGAUGGGUUUUUAAGUCAGUUGUGAAAGUUUGCGGCUCAACCGUAAAAUUGCAAUUGAUACUGGCAUCAUUGAGGACAGUGGAGGUAGGCGGAAUUCGUGGUGGAGCGGUGAAAUGCUUAGAUAUCACGAAGAACUCCGAUUGCGAAGGCAGCCUACUAAACUGCCACUGACAUUGAUGCUCGAAAGUGUGGGUAUCAAACAGGAUUAGAUACCCCAGUAGUC
rnacentral:rRNA from 1 species